ACGAUAUCCUGAACAGGAUGUUUUCUCCUGAUUCUGAUUCCAGGGUGCUGACUGGAACCCCGCACUAGAAGCGAUGAGCACAAAACAUCUGGAUCCCAGCGGGGCCCAAACAUCUGCUAGGAGCCGGCUGGGAGGUGGACGAGGAAGAGGAGCAGGAAGGAUGGGGUGCGCAUCAGGGACGUGAUCCAGACGGGUCUACACAUCCAUAUUUCAUCAUCUAACUGUCCUCACCUCUCCUGUUUUAAUGUAACCUUUCUGUGAUGUUUUUGUUUUUUUCAAUUGUGUCUUGAUGUAAAGUGUUUUUCAAAAACUAAAACUGCUAUACAAAUAAAAAUGUAUAACAAUUUUUAUUAUCAUUAUUUUUUUUAUCAUUAUUAUUAUUAUUAUGUUGUAGGGGUCAGUGGAAAACAGGGCAGUGAGUUUGAGUGUGCAUCAUUGAAAUGUAAAAUGGAUUUACUAGUUUUU
ensembl:lncRNA